rnacentral:rRNA from 1 species
GUCGAGAAUCUUCCGCAAUGCGCGAAAGCGUGACGGAGCGACACCGCGUGAUGGAUGAAGUCCUUCGGGGCGUAAACAUCUUUUAUAAAGGAGGAAAUUUUUGACGUUACUUUAUGAAUAAGGGGCUCCCAAUCUCGUGCCAGCAGGAGCGGUAAUACGAGAGCCUCAAGCGUUAUCCGGAAUCAUUGGGCGUAAAGGGUGCGUAGGUGGUUUGAUUAGUCUCCCGUUAAAACUUCGAGCUUAACUCGAAAAGAGCGGGGGAAACGGUCAAACUAGAGUAUGUGAGAGGUGGGUGGAACUCAUGGUGUAGGGGUGAAAUCCGUUGAUAUCAUGGGGAACACCAAAAGCGAAGGCAGCACACUGGCACAUCACUGACACUGAGGCACGAAACCUAAGGUAGCGAAUGGGAUUAGAAACCCCGGUAGUCC